CGGUGUUCGACGUUCCGUCUGAAGAACCCCUUGAGCCUAUCGCCGUGAACCGGGAGCCAUCCCCGCGCAGGGAGUGCAGGUCCGCAGCACAGCGGAAAGCCCGAAUACGCGGUUCGGCGCCCACUUGAGACCUUGUCUCAAGGUCGAAGACGGGUGACGGCACCGGUGGGAGACAC
rnacentral:other from 1 species